UACGAAGGGGGCUAGCGUUGCUCGGAAUUACUGGGCGUAAAGCGCACGUAGGCGGCUCUUUAAGUCGGAGGUGAAAUCCUGGAGCUCAACUCCAGAACUGCCUUCGAUACUGUAGAGCUUGAGUUCGGGAGAGGUGAGUGGAACUGCGAGUGUAGAGGUGAAAUUCGUAGAUAUUCGCAAGAACACCAGUGGCGAAGGCGGCUCACUGGCCCGGUACUGACGCUGAGGCGCGAAAGCGUGGGGAGCAAACAGGG
rnacentral:rRNA from 1 species